rnacentral:rRNA from 1 species
ACGAACGCUGGCGGCGUGCCUAAUACAUGCACGUCGAACGCAUUUUCUUUCACCGUAGCUUGCUACACCGAAAGAAAAUGAGUGGCGAACGGGUGAGUAACACGUGGGUAACCUGCCCAUCAGCGGGGGAUAACACUUGGAAACAGGUGCUAAUACCGCAUAAUUCCAUUUACUGCAUGGUAGAUGGAUGAAAGGCGCUUUUGCGUCACUGAUGGAUGGACCCGCGGUGCAUUAGCUAGUUGGUGGGGUAACGGCCUACCAAGGCUGCGAUGCAUAGCCGACCUGAGAGGGUGAUAGGCCACACUGGGACUGAGACACGGCCCAGACUCCUACGGGAGGCAGCAGUAGGGAAUCUUCGGCAAUGGACGCAAGUCUGACCGAGCAACGCCGCGUGAGUGAAGAAGGUUUUCGGAUCGUAAAACUCUGUUGUUAGAAAAGAACAAGGAUGAGAGUGGAAAGUUCAUCCCUUGACGGUAUCUAACCAGAAAGCCACGGCUAACUACGUG